rnacentral:hammerhead_ribozyme from 1 species
AUCCCGCUGACUAGUUACAAAUAGAACGAAACGCGCGUCCUGGAU